rnacentral:misc_RNA from 1 species
GGAAGUAAAGUCGUAACAAGGUUUCCGUAGGUGAACCUGCGGAAGGACCAUUAUUGAAUAACCGAGGUGCGAGGGCUGUCGCUGACCCGAAAGGUCGUGCACGCCCGAGUGCCCUCACACACAUCCAUCUCACCCCUAUGUGCACCACCGCGUGGGUCCCCCUUUGGCUUGUUCGGAGGGGGGCUUACGUUUUCACACAAACUUUGUAUGCAGUGUAGAAUGUAUUUUUUGUUUUUGCGAUCACGCAAUCAAUACAACUUUCAACAACGGAUCUCUUGGCUCUC